UGCGUCCUAGGGAGGCAGCAGUGAGGAAUAUUGGUCAAUGGGCGGAAGCCUGAACCAGCCAAGUCGCGUGAGGGAAUAAGGCCCUACGGGUCGUAAACCUCUUUUGCCGGGGAGCAAGGGCCGGGACGCGUCCCGGCCCGGAGAGUACCCGGAGAAAAAGCAUCGGCUAACUCCGUGCCAGCAGCCGCGGUAAUACGGAGGAUGCGAGCGUUAUCCGGAUUUAUUGGGUUUAAAGGGUGCGUAGGCGGGUUUUUAAGUCAGCGGUAAAAAUUCGGG
rnacentral:rRNA from 1 species